rnacentral:rRNA from 1 species
AUUGAACGCUGGCGGCAGGCCUAACACAUGCAAGUCGAGCGGAUGAAGGGAGCUUGCUCCUGGAUUCAGCGGCGGACGGGUGAGUAAUGCCUAGGAAUCUGCCUGGUAGUGGGGGAUAACGUCCGGAAACGGGCGCUAAUACCGCAUACGUCCUGAGGGAGAAAGUGGGGGAUCUUCGGACCUCACGCUAUCAGAUGAGCCUAGGUCGGAUUAGCUAGUUGGUGGGGUAAAGGCCUACCAAGGCGACGAUCCGUAACUGGUCUGAGAGGAUGAUCAGUCACACUGGAACUGAGACACGGUCCAGACUCCUACGGGAGGCAGCAGUGGGGAAUAUUGGACAAAGGGCGAAAGCCUGAUCCAGCCAUGCCGCGUGUGAGAAGAAGGUCUUCGGAUUGUAAAGCACUUUAAGUUGGGAGGAAGGGCAGUAAGUUAAUACCUUGCUGUUUUGACGUUACCAACAGAAUAAGCACCGGCUAACUUCGUG